rnacentral:lncRNA from 1 species
GUUAAGCCUUCCCCCUAAUCCUCUAGUGGCUGUCUCAUUGACAGCCACUAGAGGCGCUUGCGUGCUUCUCACUGUGAUUUUCACAGUGAGAGCACGCCAGCGUCCAUAGGAAAGCAUUAUAAAUGCUUUCCUAUGCGACCGGCUGAAUGCGCGCGCAUUCAGCCGACGGGGCGGAACGGAGGAGGAGAGAAGGAGGAGAGCUCCCCGCCCAG